CCCAGGAGUCCAACACAGCUGUAGGAUCAAAACAACAAGUCUCGUCUCAAUGAUGGACAGAUUGUGUGUGUGCGGCAGCUGAAGGAUUCCUCUGGGAUUGAAUAAACCCAGUUUCAUUUUCAUGCCUCCGGCGCAACUGAUAAACCCCGUGCAACUAUACUGUAACCGAGCAAGAGAGGCAGCAACAUGAGUACAAGCAAGAUUAAGCAGGUGAACAAGAAAACCAACAGUGAG